AGGUUCUGAAGAGGUGGGGAGGAGUUCUGAGGGGGUGGGAGAGGUGUGAGGAGCGGGAGUUCUGAAGAGGUGGGAGAAAUUGUGAGAAGGUGAAAGGAGUUCUGAGGAGGCGGGAGGAGUUCUGAGGAGGGGGGAGGAGUUCUGAGGAGGGAGAAGGAAUUCUGAGGAAGGAGGAGGAGUUCUGAGGAGGGAGGAGGAAUUCUGAGGAGGUGGGAGGAGUUCUGAGGAGGCAGGAGGAAUUCUGAGGAGGGAGGAGGAGUUCUGAGGAGGUGGGAGGAGUUCUGAGGAGGUGGGAGGAGUUCUGAGGAGGUGGGAGGAAUUCUAAUGGGGGGAGUUCUGAGGAGGGGGAGGAAUUCUGAGGAGGUAGGAGGAGUUCUGAGGAGGCAGGAGGAGUUCUGAGGAUGUGGGAGGAGUUCUGAGGAGGUGGGAGGAAUUCCCAGGAGGUGGGAGAAGUUCUGAGGAGGGAGGAGGAGAGAGGCAUCCUAGGUCAAGCCAGAAAGAAGAGUGGUGAAAUUGCUUCCUGAUUCCUCCUUGGUGACUCUGAGGUUAGAGAGGAAGCUAAACUCUGAAGCCCACCUUAUAUACGGAAGAUGAUCUGGGGUCUGUGGCAUUCCAGGUCCUGCUCUCUCCCUAGGCCAUCACUUCAGAUCUGCAAUGGACUUUGUAUGUCAGCCAUGAUAAACCAAGGCCAUACCAGUUUUCUAUUUGGUCCUCAAAUGUACCAAACUCUUUCCUGCCCCAGGGACUUUGCGUAUGUUGUCUCCUAUACCUGGAAUAUAUGUUUUCCAAGCCUCUGUCUCUGAGACUCGGAUGAAAUGUCAUUUCCUCAGACUGGCCUUUCCUGACCACUCCACUUGCCCCUCCCACCCUUAGUCUGCAUUAUGCCCCCUAGUAUUUUCUCCCCCAGUUUCCCGUUCUUUUCCUUAUCUCACUCUGAAGCUGUGGGCUCCUUUGAUGAACACAUACCCUCCACAGGGCAGGAAUCCUGCUGUUUAUCAAUUUGGUACACACUGCCCCUUGCACACAGCAAGUGCACAAAAAGCAUUUGUUAAAUAUGUAUAGAAGCAAUACCAGGCCCCAAGACAGUGGCCCUGCCUGUGAUAUAGUGGGAAGACAGAUAAACACGUACUUAAGACCAGGGU
rnacentral:lncRNA from 10 species